CAGGCCUAACACAUGCAAGUCGAACGAUGACUCUCUAGCUUGCUAGAGAUGAUUAGUGGCGGACGGGUGAGUAACAUUUAGGAAUCUGCCUAGUAGUGGGGGAUAGCUCGGGGAAACUCGAAUUAAUACCGCAUACGACCUACGGGUGAAAGGGGGCGCAAGCUCUUGCUAUUAGAUGAGCCUAAAUCAGAUUAGCUAGUUGGUGGGGUAAAGGCCCACCAAGGCGACGAUCUGUAACUGGUCUGAGAGGAUGAUCAGUCACACCGGAACUCAGACACGGUCCGGACUCCUACGGGAGGCAGCAGUGGGGAAUAUUGGACAAUGGGGGCAACCCUGAUCCAGCCACGCCGCGUGUGUGAAGAAGGCCUUUUGGUUGUAAAGCACUUUAAGCAGGGAGGAG
rnacentral:rRNA from 1 species